CUCAUCAAAACCCGCGGCUGCCCCCCUUUCCCUCCAUCAAAACCCGCGGCCGACCCUUGUCCCCUCCUCCUCCCUCGUCUCCGGCGCCGAGCGACCUCCUCUCCUCCCCCUUUCUUUUCCUCCCCCCCAAAAGCUCGGGUCCGAGUCUUGGCCGUGGCCGGCGAUCGAAGAGCUUUUCCAGUUCGUUGCCUCUUCUUCUUCUGGAUCUCGUCUCUACUCUCGAUCUCGCUCGCUUACAGGCCGGGAGACAUUGUGCCAAUGAGCAAGGCGGGCCAGUACCACGGGGUAAAAACUCGAACUGAAACCCUGUGAUUUGAAGCAAUUACAGCCUUCUCCAUCGGUCCCUGGACGGACGGACCUCCCCCUCCUCGCCAACCUCCACUGCGGCCUCUGGCACUCUCCCCGUUUCGUGGCCACCUGAUGCUUUAAGUCCAUCGAAGGCCACACCAACAACUGGUCCUUCGGCACCUCUCGCCUCGACCUCCACGUUGCCCACCUCGCCGGUCUUCUUGCGGCUUUGAUUGGAUACUGACGGUUUCCGUUUGGAAUUUUAGACUGUCUACCACGAGAGGGUGUCAAAGAGGGAAUAAAGAUAGGUUUUCUUUUAUUUAGGGCAUCACCGAUAAUAGUGGGUUCGAGCUGACUGCUUUUUCUUGUGAUUUUACUGUUCACAAUGAGUAGGACAGAGAGGAGGGUGUAUUAAAGUGGAUUCAGCCCUGAGCGGGAAACGUUUUCCGGAUGGCAUCACGAAGACUGUACUGGACGUGUGGGUUAAACCGAGCAAUCAAGACUUGUUUGCCAGAAUGUCUGAGGAAAGAUGAAGAGAUGGUAAUUUGAAGCAAGGCGGGCCAGUACCAGCAUCCCUGUUACUUUCAAUCUUCAAGCUUCUCUACAAACAAAGGCAGCAAGCUCAAGUCAGUGCAGUUCUUGGCGUUCGUUGCAGUGGCGGCCCGGGCAAGCAUCUUGGUAUUUCUUUGCGGGGAGUUCGUCUAAAAUGGCAUUCUUGUCUUACGUGCCAUUUGCUCGGAGAAUGGUCUCAGAAUUGCUUAUAAGUUGCUGUGACACAGAGAUAUAGGCUGAUGCUGAGCCAGUGAUGGUUGGAUGGUUGGAUGGUGAUUACUGAAACCUUGAGUGGCACCACAGUUUCCUGCUGUUCUUUUUUCCUUUUCAUUUGUUAUGCAUGAGAUUGCCUGUUUGUCUUGUACCUUUUUAGGCUUUAGGAGAUUCUUUUGAGGUUCCACAAGGGUGUUGAAAUCAUUCUCUUGUAUAUAUAUAUUUUUUUCCAUAUUACAGUUUGAUUUUAACUGACUAUUAGUCUGUUUUAUUUUGGAUUGUUAUGGUUCGUAUUACAUGGUGGCUAAGAGGCAUCAACAUCUGCCUGCUUUUUACUGCUC